rnacentral:rRNA from 1 species
UACGUAGGGUGCAGGCGUUAAUCGGAAUUACUGGGCGUAAAGCGUGCGCAGGCGGUCUUUUAAGUCAGAUGUGAAAUCCCCCGGGCUUAACCUGGGAACUGCGUUUGAAACUGAAAGGCUAGAGUGUGGCAGAGGGGGGUGGAAUUCCGCGUGUAGCAGUGAAAUGCGUAGAGAUGCGGAGGAACACCGAUGGCGAAGGCAGCCCCCUGGGCUAACACUGACGCCUCAGGCACGAAAGCGUGGGGAGCAAACAGG